rnacentral:ncRNA from 14 species
GCCAUUACUAUAAAAGCUAUUGGACAUCAAUGGUAUCGGAGUGCGCCUCUUCACGAGGGUGAUUAAAGUGCAACGAAAUGCCUUAAAGUUGAAUAUGGUUCGCGAAGCAUCUGGCUUACCGGUAAUCUCCCAUUCCCGCCGUCGAGAGACUUUAAUAACUAUAGCAUGCCAGAAACGGGGAGUUGAGGUGGUUAGACCUAUACCCCGAAAUGCUCCCAGCAUAGGAGCCUAUGGUUCCAUUCUUGUUGUUGCUGGAGGUACACAUCCCUCUUCUCGGUGUGGAACGAUAUACGAGAAAUAGAUGCUCAGCCUGCAAUGUCCGAUAACGGCGCUGAAGUAGUGAAUCUAUCGGCACCAUAGCAGUGGUAUACAACUUUGGACCUAACGGCCGGCCUAGUAACCUUUCGGAAUGGGGGAUCCCCGUUGGCAACAACCACGGUAGUAGUUGCGGAACUACUGGGCCGGGAGAGGACAACCUCUUGUUCCUGCUCCUCUUUCUUCGCUUCGGGGACGGAGGUCUACGGUAGGUAACAGCAGGCACAAGCAAGUUGACCGAAGGGGACCAGCGCUUCUACUCCUCCACCGAGGAGCCGUUCUUGCGAGAAGCAAGGGAUGUCGUGAACGGUGGGAGGUCACAGAGAAUUGACCUAUUCAUAGAGUGAUCCUAUGAUCGAUACAGGAUAUAGACUAUCUCAUUCUUUAUUCUAUUCUAUUUCUGAAAAAAAAAAGAAGGGUGACUCAACUUCUCAGCUAGAGUUGGUGGUGGGACCUCUUGGCAUAAUGCACGCUGGAACGUGGGAAUUCGAGGUCUCAUGAACUACUACUAAAAACCGACUUUGUUUUUGUUUUGUUUGUGGACAAACGAUAUCCGGUCAGCCUAUGGCUGGAUCCUUUUAGAUCUACGGGCCGGCCGGCCCCGGCCGUUUACAUGAGCAUAGGGAAUCUAUACUCGAGCGUUCCACUGGGCCCCUGACAGGAUAGGUGAGGAAUCACUCUGGAUCUUCUUUUUUUGGGCUACAACUUCGCCGAGCCGACUAGCAUCCCUUUCCACUGUGCAUUUUUCGAACAAAGAAGACGACUAUAGGAUCGAAUUCGCUCUUCAAGAAACUGCUCGUCCCAUACCUUCUGCCUGUCUCAUAUGUGUGGAACCUGGUCUUUUUCGGUUCCAGCCUCUCCCUCGAAUACAUAGGGUAGGUAGGGCUGGGUGAUAAAGGGUUCCCUCUUGCCAAUAAACUUUCCCCGGCCUUCGAUUAACCUUACUCAUAAAGGGUCUUACGGUCGGGAGAACUACCUAACUAAAGAAAAAUAGUGUUCUUUCUAAGAGUAGGCGUGGAGAGCUUUUUGCGGGGAAACUUGCAAGUACAGUUUGGGGGGAGGCGGGCGUCGACCCUACCUUAUGAGUAUUCGGACUAUAACAGUUCCGAUGAACAGUCACUCACUNNNNNNNNNNNNNNNN